rnacentral:rRNA from 1 species
UUUUUCAUAAGAAAAAAAUGACAGUACCAUGUGAAUAAAGUUCCGGCUCAAAUCGGGCCCGCGGCCGCGGUAAUAAUUAUAGCCCGAGAGUUGUCCCCGAAUUAAUUGGGGUAAAAGGCACCAGGGGGUCCUUGGAAUUUAGAAUUAAAAUAUUUCGGUUUAACGAGGGAAAGUUUUUAAAACAGGGAGGCUUGAGAGCGGAAAGGGAAACGGGGAAUUCCCGGUGUAGCCGCGAAAUUGCCCAAAUAUCAGGAAGAACUCCGGCGGAAAGGCGGCUUUUUGGUCAUCAUCGACCAGAGUUAUAAAAGCCGGGUAGCUUACAGC